AAUUAUAUUCCUUGAUUAAAAAAAAUCAACAGCUUAAUAAGAGAAUUAUUCUGUUCUAAAAUUUUCUUUCAAAAACCGAUAAGUAGUGGAAAUAUGGCUUUAUCAUGUAUUCAAAAUUACAAAACUAACAGAUGUACACGUCUAUGCACAAUAGUAGGUUAUCUCCCAUUUGAAAGAGUUGUCUUUUCUAAAUUUAGAAGAAUAGAGACUAUUUACAUUAUCAGCUGAUAAUGUUUUAAAUAAUGAAAGCGACA
rnacentral:lncRNA from 1 species